UACAAGACUUCGGUCAAGUUGAACGGAUGACUUAGUGGCGGACGGGUGAGUAACGCGUGAGGAACCUGCCUUUCAGUGGGGGAUAACAGUUGGAAACGACUGCUAAUACCGCAUAAGCGCACGGUAUCGCAUGAUACAGUGUGAAAAACUCCGGUGGUAUAAGAUGGACCCGCGUCUGAUUAGAUAGUUGGUAAGGUAACGGCUUACCAAGGCGACGAUCAGUAGCCGGACUGAGAGGUUGAACGGCCACAUUGGGACUGAGACACGGCCCAGACUCC
rnacentral:rRNA from 1 species